rnacentral:rRNA from 1 species
UACGUAGGUGACCAGCGUUGUCCGGAUUUACUGGGCGUAAAGAGCGCGCAGGCGGUCGUUCAAGUCGAGUGUGAAAGCCCCCGGCUCAACUGGGGAGGGUCACUCGAUACUGAUCGACUUGAAGGCAGGAGAGGGAAGCGGAAUUCCCGGUGUAGUGGUGAAAUGCGUAGAUAUCUGGAGGAAUACCGGUGGCGAAGGCGGCAUCCUGGACCGACAUUGACGCUGAACGGCGAAAGCUAGGGGAGCAAACAGG